CGGAAACAAGUUUCAGAUGAAUUAAGGCUGAUGUUUGUUGCUAAGGGAACGUUAAAACUUCAGCCUAGCAAGUCGGAAACAAGUUUCAGAUGAAUUAAGGCUGAUGUUUGUUGCUAAGGGAACGUUAAAACUUCAGCCUAGCAAGUCAGAAACUAGUUACAGAUGAAUCAAGGCUGAUGUUUGUUGCUAAGGAAACAUUAAAACUUCAGCCUAGCAAGUCGGAAACAAGUUUCAGAUGAAUUAAGGCUGAUGUUUGUUGCUAAGGGAACGUUAAAACUUCAGCCUAGCAAGUCAGAAACUAGUUACAGAUGAAUUAAGGCUGAUGUUUGUUGCUAAGGAAACAUUAAAACUUCAGCCUAGCAAGUCGGAAACAAGUUUCAGAUGAAUUAAGGCUGAUGUUUGUUGCUAAGUGAACGUUAAAACUUCAGCCUAACAAGUCAGAAACUAGUUACAGAUGAAUUAAGGCUGAUGUUUGUUGCUAAGGAAACAUUAAAACUUCAGCCUAGCAAGUCAGAAACAAGUCACGCAGUUGAAUCAAGACUGAUGUUUGUGGCUAAGGAACUUUGUUGAAAAAGAGUGAUUUGUUUAUUUUAUGUAAUGUUAUAUCUCCGAGGCUUUGAUUUGUUACCAUAUAUAUGUAUGUGUUUUAUUCAUCACAUGAUAAGUCCCUAUGGAGCAACUACAAGUGUGUGUGUAUAUAUAUAACUAGGAAUGAAAUGCACCACUUUAAGUUGCUCUAUUAAGAACGGCGCCAUCUUGUCUGAGUUAGCCUUCACCCAUGCUCCAACACACAAGUUAAACUGUUAUGCUUCACAAGGACAGGAUCGGAGUGGUGAUAACGUUACAAUGCCUAUGGAACCUUUAAGUUAAAUAUCUCCCAUCAAAUACGGGCUCUCAACUGUUUCUCUUUGUCUAGAUCAAAUUUCUCGAUAGAUUUAUUCAGAAUUCUAAUCCUGGUAGCGACUUCCUGUGAAAGUGUGUCGGACACAUCGUAAACUGUAGUCAAGUUAGAUUACAAUCACUCUGAAUCCAUCGGUCAAACAAAAAACGUCUAUUUGUGAUACUUCUUGGAAUUAUUCGGCUGCUAAUACGAUCCAUUAGCUGGUGAGAGCUGGACUUCCAACUGAAGACUCUAGCAAUUGAAGAGACUGCAAAUGUUAGAAUCUGAAGCUCUUUGACGUAUAGAAAUGGCAUCUGUUAAAAGUCCCGCACAGAAAACAGUCAAUUCAAUAUUAGAAAAAUAGUAAAUGAGCGUCUAAAAAACAACAACUUGUAAUGCUACUUCUAUCACAUACAAUGUAUCAUUUAAGCAGGAAUUAUACGGGCAACGUCUCACAAACACUGGUAAAUUCAUUUAAUCAAAACGUUCAGAAUAUACUGGAUGAGAUCAUAUCAUAUCUACUCAAUAGAGACAAAGUAAGAGUAUGUAUCUUUUCCAAGAAUCUAGAUAACCCAUCAGUACGUGUUUACAGAAUAAGGAUGUGUUUUCACCAGGAAAUAUCCUGAAAAAAUAAAUUAAUUAAAACAAUUAAAAAGGAUAUAUCAUUGGAUGAAACAUUUAAAAUUGAAGUAACUACAUUGGAAUUGACGAAAUAUUUAAAACUUAAGUAACUACAUUGGAAUUGACGAAGUAACAUUUAAAAUUGAAGUAACUACAUUAAAAUUGAAGUCACUACAUUGGAAUUGUUAGAAGGUAGCGGUAGGCAUAAGAUAACUAAUAUUUAUAAUGAUCGACUGAAAAAAAAGAUUAGCUAUAGCCAUAAAAAAUAAUAACGAUGUCUGCUAUUUUAGCUUUAGCAUCGCUCAGAAAUCAUCCUAAAUAUAAAUGUAUUGCUAAUAAACAAAGACCGAUACUUACAUCGAGAUUUGAACGAUAUCUAAACGUUCAAAUUAAUAUUGUUUUUCAAACAAUUUCACCCGUGUUAUACAUAAAGGUCCUUCAUAUCAUGAACAGAUUUUCCCCUGGUUUCAUAAUAACCAUUUGGAAUUCAUCAC
rnacentral:lncRNA from 1 species